rnacentral:rRNA from 1 species
CCUACGGGAGGCAGCAGUGGGGAAUAUUGGACAAUGGGCGAAAGCCUGAUCCAGCCAUGCCGCGUGUGUGAAGAAGGCCUUCGGGUUGUAAAGCACUUUCAGUGGGGAAGAAAGCCUUGGGGCUAAUACCCUCGAGGAAGGACAUCACCCACAGAAGAAGCACCGGCUAACUCCGUGCCAGCAGCCGCGGUAAUACGGAGGGUGCGAGCGUUAAUCGGAAUUACUUGUCGUAAAGCGCGCGUAGGCGGUCUGAUAAGCCGGUUGUGAAAGCCCCGGGCUCAACCUGGGAACGGCAUCCGGAACUGUCAGGCUAGAGUGCAGGAGAGGAAGGUAGAAUUCCCGGUGUAGCGGUGAAAUGCGUAGAGAUCGGGAGGAAUACCAGUGGCGAAGGCGGCCUUCUGGACUGACACUGACGCUGAGGUGCGAAAGCGUGGGUAGCAAACAGGAUUAGAUACCCUGGUAGUC